GUCCUCGUAGCUCAGUUGGCUAGAGCGUUGGCUGUACUAAAGUCUUCCCCUAUCUGGCGUGGGUUAGAAUCCCACCGAGUCUA
rnacentral:tRNA from 1 species